rnacentral:rRNA from 1 species
CAGCCGCCGCGUAAUACCGGCGGCCCGAGUGGCGGUCACUAUUAUUGGGCUUAAAGCGUCCGUAGCCGGGUUGGGAAGUCCUCCGGGAAAUCUGGCCGCUUAACGGUCAGAAUGCCGGAGGAUACUCCCAGCCUAGGGGGCGGGAGAGGCCGAGGGUAUUCCCGGAGUAGGGGUGAAAUCCUAUAAUCCCGGGAGGACCACCUGUGGCGAAGGCGCUCGGCUGGAACGCGUCCGACGGUGAGGGACGAAGGCCAGGGGAGCAAACCGGAUUAGAUACCCGGGUAGUCCUGGCUGUAAACGAUGCGGACUUUGUGUCGGACAAGCUAUGAGCUUGUCCGGUGCCGGAGGGAAACCGUUAAGUCCGCCGCCUGGGGAGUACGGCCGCAAGGCUGAAACUUAGAGGAAUUGGCGGG